rnacentral:pre_miRNA from 1 species
CCCUCUUUGGUCAAGUGGUUCUAAACAGUUCAACAGUUCUUUGCUAAAAUUGUGAAAUGUUUAGGACCACUUGGGCAGAC